rnacentral:rRNA from 1 species
UACGUAGGGUGCGAGCGUUAAUCGGAAUUACUGGGCGUAAAGCGUGCGCAGGCGGUUGUGCAAGACAGAUGUGAAAUCCCCGGGCUUAACCUGGGAAUUGCAUUUGUGACUGCACGGCUAGAGUGUGUCAGAGGGAGGUAGAAUUCCACGUGUAGCAGUGAAAUGCGUAGAUAUGUGGAGGAAUACCGAUGGCGAAGGCAGCCGUCCUGGGAGUAACACUGACGCUCGAUGCACGAAAGCG